rnacentral:rRNA from 1 species
UACGAAGGGGGCUAGCGUUGUUCGGAAUUACUGGGCGUAAAGCGCACGUAGGCGGAUUGUUAAGUCAGAGGUGAAAUCCCGGAGCUCAACUUCGGAACUGCCUUUGAUACUGGCAAUCUCGAGUCCGGAAGAGGUUAGUGGAAUUCCCAGUGUAGAGGUGAAAUUCGUAGAUAUUGGGAAGAACACCAGUGGCGAAGGCGGCUAACUGGUCCGGUACUGACGCUGAGGUGCGAAAGCCAGGGGAGCAAACGGG